rnacentral:tRNA from 2 species
GGGCCCGUGGUCUAGACUGGUCAUGACGCCACCCUUACGAGGUGGAGGUCCGGGGUUCGAAGCCCCGCGGGCCCACCA